GUGUUUGCUUCAGCAGCACAUACAGUAAAACUGGAACAAUACAGAGAAGAUGAACACGGGCCCUGGGCAAGAAUGACACGCAAAUUCAUGAAGCAUUUCGUAUUUUU